AACGAACGCUGGCGGCAUGCCUAACACAUGCAAGUCGAACGAGACCUUCGGGUCUAGUGGCGCACGGGUGCGUAACGCGUGGGAAUCUGCCCUCGGGUUCGGAAUAACAGUUAGAAAUGACUGCUAAUACCGGAUAAUGACGUAAGUCCAAAGAUUUAUCGCCCAAGGAUGAGCCCGCGUAGGAUUGGCUUGUUGGUGAGGUAAAGGCUCACCAAGGCGACGAUCCUUAGCUGGUCUGAGAGGAUGAUCAGCCACACUGGGACUGAGACACGGCCCAGACUCCUACGGGAGGCAGCAGUGGGGAAUAUUGGACAAUGGGCGAAAGCCUGAUCCAGCAAUGCCGCGUGAGUGAUGAAGGCCUUAGGGUUGUAAAGCUCUUUUACCCGGGAUGAUAAUGACAGUACCGGGAGAAUAAGCCCCGGCUAACUCCGUGCCAGCCGCCGCGGUAACAC
rnacentral:rRNA from 1 species